GCCGGGGUCGCCUAGCGGGUAGGGCGGUGGCCUCGAGAGCCACUGGUCAUUACGACCACGUGGGUUCAAAUCCCACCCCCGGCG
rnacentral:tRNA from 1 species